AGGGAAAUAAGUUAGUCAAAAAAAUUCUGAAAAUUAACUCAAUAGAUAUGGUAUUAAUGAAUUUAACAAAGGUUUAUAAUUAUUUGAAUUCUAUAUCACUUUGUUUUUGAAUGAGCAAAACUUUUAUCCACGUCCUAGGAUUUUCCUUCUUGGAUUUUCGUCAGACUUGAAAAGUUGUGAAAAAAGAUAAGACCAUUGUCGUUCACAAAGCAUGUUUCUGUGUAAAUAUGUAUCUUUGGACAGUUGGACUCAGAUAAUGCUUUCCCCAAUCUCCAAUUCACAGACUAAAGAUCAUUGCAUGAUUUGUUGUGCUUUUUCAGUAUCUACUAAGACUACAAAAUAUUUUAACAAUUUGAUCAUCUCACACUCCUAUACCCUGUCAGCAUAAAAAAGUAGGACAAGUGUGAAGUAUCAGUUACAAAUAUGUAAAAUCAACUGUAAUCUGUAUAGCUUUUCAUAUAUUUGCUUCUUCCAGAUGUGAGAUGGUGGAGAACUUAAUCUGAAAGUAAACUUCAGGGAUCUUGCCUUUUCGGCAACCGGAAAGGAUAAGCUGGAGGCUGAUGGUUGAAAAUGAUCUUUGUGAUUCUCGAAGAACGAAGGUCAAAGGGACUCAAAAGAUCCUUUUUCGACUCUCUCUUUAGACGUAUUCCCCAGGAGGUGUUCCUCUUCAAGAAGGAGAUUCUUGAACACAUAAUUCCUUAACCAUUGGUCCAUUUAACUCGGCCAAAAGAUGUGGGUGAAGCCAUCAGUGACUAAGAACGCGGCAGAAACACUGUGAAAAUAGCUGAAUCUGAGUCAGCUUAUUCCCUUUCUGCAUUUUUAGCCAUACAAAUUACAUGUGAAAGAGAUUCUUUUUUCCUUCUAUUUUUACCUUCAUUAAUUUAGAAUAUAGUCUCUUUCGUUGGUUCUUUAUUCCCAUUAUAUCAAGUUGAGUAUGUUUCUUGAAUUCUUCAA
rnacentral:lncRNA from 1 species